AUAAACACGGAGUUCUGCACUUGUUAGGGUGCAUACGAGAAGAAGAGGAUAAGAGAGAGAGAGAACGUCCACGAACAAAGACAACCAGAAUUUCACCUUUUUUUUAACUAUGUGUGUGAAGGAGGCAGAGAGUGUGUGAAUUUAUGUAUGCGUGAGAGGGCGAUGCAAGGACUAGAUGCAUGCAUGCAGGGAAGUAGCUGAACGUGGAAAUUCAUUCGAACGAACUUUGUGUCUUUGGGUAUCUUCGUAAACGCGUGCAAGUGUGGGCAGGCGUAUCUCUAUGUGAGAAGGGAACUGAAAGGAGAAUUCUAAAAAAACAAGCUUGGCGUGGGACGUGGAGAGAGUGCUGUGACCCCGGAGUGCCACACAUUCAUAUACACAGUUGUAUACACUGGAGAAUCAUUGACAUAUGAAGAGCAAAGAAGAAGAGAGACUGUGAACAGAUGUCUGGCAUCAACCCUUGAAGUGCCUCAACAAGUAUAUGGAUGAGUGUGAUCAAGCGGGGCACUAUUAUUAUUCGUUUGGUCCAUAAAAGAAACAAGGGCAUACAGCAUUAGAAAAACACCAUGGGUUCCACAUAACUGGGUUACGUUAAUCCAAUGAAGCUGUGUAUGAACACUGAAGCAGUGUUAAGUUGAUGACAUAAUAAUGACAUAUAAUGUACGCCUUUGGAAUGGCAUGAGGAUGAGUAUAGCUAAUUAAUGGCAGAAUUUUCAUCUUUGACUGAACUUUAAUUAAAAAAAAACAACAUUUAGCACAAAGCAAAGCAUUAAAACAUUCAAUCGUUCCCUCAAGUAUAACUCCUCCUCAGCAUCUGCACUGCUUACAGUUCUGACAACAAAGCAAACUAUUUAAUGACCUGAGACAGUGAGAAUCUCAGGAAUAUAACAACUCUCGAUAUGUUGUUCAGCAUAAAGCAAAAGAUGAAAUCACACAGCGUAACGUACUUUCCAAAACACCCAGUAUCUUUAGAUGGAAUCGUCUGUUUUUUUCACGUUUGAUGUUUACCAGACGGCAAUUAAAAACAAGCUCUGCUGAGGAUUGGUUCGCCCCACUCAUCCGCCUACCUACAGAAAGACUCAGCCUCGACUGAUUUUUUUCAGCUCUCUGCUCAUGUCAAUCACAGCGUUUGCUCUCUGCAGCCUCACGCCCUAUCCUCCUUUAGGAAACAGAACAGAAAAAAGCAUAAAUAAGUGAAAGAAAAAAAAAGAAGAAACUGUCAAUCUUCCAACACGCAAAACAAAAAUCACAAAAAAUUAUAAGUAUACCACUAUUAUAGAAACAUGACACAAAUGACUGCCGAACAUGUGGCCUGCACCUCUUGAAUGAUCUCCACAUCAAAGGGAACAAAAAGAUCGAGAGAGAUAGAAAAAAACACCAACAUUGAGCACUUUCAUGGGACAGAAAGCCUCGUGAAAGCCUUAUUUGCCUUCAAAGUUCUCCAGCCAUGGGUGUAGGACGGGCUUAAGUGCACCAACAUAAGGCCCAGCUCUGUGGGUGUCAGAUUUUAGCCCACUAAUCAAAAGCUCAGAAGUCCGUCUCCGUUUGUCCAUGGAAUCAGCUCUUUGCCAAAACCUCUUUUUGAAGUAUAGACCGCAGUUGUUUUCAUGAAACUUGUGUCUCAUUUUGAAACUCGUGUCUCAUUCAGUGAAAAGGAGAAUUAAGAAAAAUAA